GGUUCCACCUUUGUGUAUCUGAUCUUCUUCACCGCCUGCUGUGUGACGCACAUAAACCUGAUGGAGGUCCGAUCUAGCUGAAGCUUGUUUGCAACAGACUUGAACGGAAUACAACACACACAUUCUGUGUUCAUGAGCACAGAUUAACUGUCAAACUGCGGCUCCCGAACAAUGUCUCAACAAUUCCUACAGGACGAACCAUGAUAUCAACUACAUCGUUAUCGACUACCUAAACCCACGAGGAUGAAUUGAAGCCGGCAAACUUCAGUCAUCGCCGAAAAGGUGAUCUGGUCACAUGAUCCGAGCGCAUCUCUCUGGAAACUUCCACUCCAGUGACGGUAUCGAUGUGCCGAGCUAAAUGAUAUUCCGCCGGAGCUAAACAAGAUAAGAGGAAAUUUGUAGAUGAGGUGAUAGCAGCUUAUGGAGGUGAAAGGCACACACAGGAGCGUCGGACUCCUACCACUCAAAAUGGCAAAAAUAAUGACUGCUUUAUCAAUCUGUACAGGAUUUUUGUUUGUUAUUGUUGCUUAGAAAACUGCUUGAUAUUUCAUUUUAUUUUAUUUUUCUAAAUUUGCAGUGUGACUUGAGGAGUUAUAUGUACUUUUAUGUACUUCAAUCGGUGAAAUCAUCUGAGUUGAUAUCAUCUGAGCUUCUAUGAGAGCUGUGACAUAGAAGCAGAGUCCUGACUCGGUUUAGAUGACUGAAAGUCGGAGUCCUGACUCACAGACAGAAAAUCGUUCAUUUGUUUAUACUGAAUGAAAAUUUCCUAGAAGUCUGUUUCA